rnacentral:rRNA from 1 species
UCAGGAUGAACGCUGGCGGCGUGCUUAACACAUGCAAGUCGAACGAUGAUCCCAGCUUGCUGGGGGAUUAGUGGCGAACGGGUGAGUAACACGUGAGUAACCUGCCCUUAACUCUGGGAUAAGCCUGGGAAACUGGGUCUAAUACCGGAUAUGACUCCUCAUCGCAUGGUGGGGGGUGGAAAGCUUUAUUGUGGUUUUGGAUGGACUCGCGGCCUAUCAGCUUGUUGGUGAGGUAAUGGCUCACCAAGGCGACGACGGGUAGCCGGCCUGAGAGGGUGACCGGCCACACUGGGACUGAGACACGGCCCAGACUCCUACGGGAGGCAGCAGUGGGGAAUAUUGCACAAUGGGCGAAAGCCUGAUGCAGCGACGCCGCGUGAGGGANGACGGCCUUCGGGUUGUAAACCUCUUUCAGUAGGGAAGAAGCGAAAGUGACGGUACCU